GAUAUGACUCUUAUUUUUUUUUUUUUUUCCAGAUGCAAGACUGCAAGUCUUACUCAUGGGCCAGUUCUGAGCUGAAACUUGGUCUGGAAAACACUCCUGUUAUUUUCAUCUACAAAGCCUCUCUAGGGGUUAGUACCAGUGACCCACAGCAUCUUCAAGCUCCUGAUUCACCUGUUUCCCAAGCAUCCUCAGGGGGCUCAGGGAACCUUGCAGUGCCUUCAGAUUGGGAAAUGGGCUUGGAGGCUCCUUUCCCACCCUCCCAAUAGGGCCUGGAGCCAUCCUCUUCCUGACCUUUCCCACAACACUUCUCAAACUGAAUGCAAGGAGCACACUAGGAAGUAGAAGAGAAAGAGAAAGCAAAAGGGCAAAGAGUUUCAGUAAACAAGGGAGGAGCACGGCACAGCCAGAGAUAACUCAGCACUCCCAGCACCAGGGUCUCUCCCCUUCUCCAACACCAGCAGCUCUGCAUUCUCUCCUUGGCCUCUCACCUCACUCUCAGUAUUCCUCCCUCCGCCUCCCUUCACAGCUCCUUUGAAGAGGAGUGGACAGCACAGCCAGUAUGACUGGAACACAGAGAUGCUGGCUGGGAAAUCUUAGCUAGGAUGGCCUUGAACGCCACCCCCCACAUUUAUGUGCUCUUUUUCUGAUCUGUACAAUAAGGAUAUCAACACAUGCCGCUGUCAUAAGGACUGAGCAGGUGGAGGAGUGCUCUGCACAGUGCCUGGCAGGUCACCAGUGCACACUGAGUGAUACAACCUCGGAGGGACUGUGGUUGCACCCUCCAUCCCUCUGUUCUUGUUUUUAAUCCCAGAAACGAAUGGAAGGAAACCAGGAAAACUCACCCACAUUUUUCUGCUCACAGUGGGAAGGAAUUUCCUCCCAUCUCAAGAGGAUAGGUUGAGCACCAGCCGCGGUCUUAAAUUAUUUACUUAGGUAUAUGUCUCAGCAAGCAUGAGAAGUAAGAACCGCUGAAUCCAUUUUCCCAAAAAGGGAGUAAGUACAGAUUAGGUCACUCACCUAACAAGACAGGCUUCACACCCUGUCAGUACCACACCAGGGCAUCAGCUGACAGGAGGCCUCUGCAUCACCCAUUUGAAAGGCCAGGGACUGAGACUCAAUAAAGUCAAUCAACAAGCCCAUGGGAGUACUAAGAUGAGGACUCCACAUCCAGUGCUCCUUCCACCAGUAGAGUUAACCCUCAGCCAAAUUGAUGUCUGCUUUCCUGCCGUGGACCUGUCCAGACCCAACCACAGAAAGCCUGCUACAUAUCCAUUCUUAUGUAAGAAAAACUAAGCAGUAGAAGAGUCAACUCUGUGUUCAAGUUCUGUGUCUGAGAAAUGCAACUCUCACCUCAGAGAUAAACCAGCUAGUGAGUGGGGAGCGGGCAUAAAACAACGUAAUGAUGCAGGGCCAGGAUGGGGUGUGAUUCUAGGUGCUGCCAUGGCAAAGAGACUCCUGAGGCAAAGAGGCUGAGACUGAGAGGACAAUGCCUGCAAGAAGUGACUUUGGGUUUCCCAGAGCUGAGAGCUGGCCCCUCGUGGGGGUUUGCAAAGGUAAGAGAGUGAUCCUGGCAGGGGGACCAUAGACACCCAGGCCCAAAGGUGAGGAAAUGGAGCCCCUGGAAGUGAGGAAAAGCUAAGGAUGCUGGAGUGAGGCCUCCAGGUGGUGUCAGGAGCAUAAACCUGGAGUGAUGGGCAGGGACUUGGCGGGUAGUGCACCGGAAGUCUUAGUCCAUACCUGAAGGGCAACUGGGAGUUAAGCCAGGAGUUGGUCACAUGACUGGCCUUGCUAGGGCAGGAUGGGAGAAGAGGAAGCUGGGAGCAAAAGAGGAGGGUGAGGCAGGAGGAUUGAGAGUUCAAAGCCAGCCUCAGCAUAAGUGAGGCGCUAAGCAACUCAGUGAGACCCUGUCUCUAAAAAAUAUACAAAAUAGGGCUUAAGAUGUGGCUCAGUCGUCCAGAGUCCCCCUGAGUUCAAUCCCCAGUACCAAAAAUAAAAAGAGAAGGUAGCAGUAAUUCAGGCGAGAGUUGUGGGCCAGCGUCAGCAGCAAGAAACAGAGGUGGACGGAUUCAAAAAGGAUGGAAGAGGUUUGACCACCAGUGCUGGGGAAUCUGGCUGGGUGUGCAGUGGUGGAGGAGAGGCCUCAGCCUGGUUGGUGGUGGAGCCCUAGAGGAGGGAGUUGAGAAGCUGGAGAGACUAGUUCAGCAUUUGUGCUGAGCUCAGGGCAGAGAUGAGCUCCCUGGUGCUCCUGCGUCCCAGUUCUGUGCCUUCUGCUUCACAUCAACCUAAUCUACCCACCCCUUAUUAAAACCCUUCAGGGGAGUUUGGGGUCACACCUCAAGGAGAAUUGAAGAGGGAAAAAAAAUUCACAGUCAAUUCUUGCAAAUCCCUUAAAUCUCCAAUAAAAUGUAGUUUAGAGACUUACCUCCCUUCGGCAAACCCAGAGAGGCCGAUGAAUUCGCCUGCUCAGGGGCGGCAGGCAGUUUGGGUUUUUUUGUUUGAGACUGGAGCGAAGAUUGGCGUUUGGGGGCCAUCCUAUGAGGGAAGUCAAGGAGCAGACCCACAGGUCUCACAGCUCACCAGGGAGAAGUGCAGAGAACCGGUUGCCCCAGCUGCAGGGGCUUUAAACCAGCCCUGCAGCCGCCCCGCCUGUCAUUUACAUGACAGUGGGACAUCAAGACCCCACGCCCCUUCCCCCAACCUCCUCACCCUCCCUCCAAUCAGGAUAAACUUCUUUUAGUUGCACUCCUGCAUUUCUCAGCGGGGCACUCCUGGCCUCGGAGGAGGGGGCCACUUCUUGUGAAGAGUGAUCCCCAGGCUUUGUAAUCUCCUCGGGUCUUCCUGGGAAACAGCAGCGUGUCCCUUGUCCAUCCGUUCCCAAGUCCCCUCAGUAGGCAGUCCUGCCCCACUGAGAACACAUCAUCCUCCUCUUAUCCCUUUGGCCUCCAGAUUUAAAUACAUGCUGUUGGCUCACCUCUGCCUGGAAUGUUCUUCAUUCACCUCACCCCCACUCCCUUUUCUGGCUGAUUCCUUCCCAACUUCAAGGCUUCCCUUGAGGGAUAGAAGAAAAACUGGAUUCCCAAUCAAGAAUGUAACAGUAGGGAUGGGGGUGUAGCUCAGUGGUAGAGCACAUGCGGGAGGCCCUGCCUGCAAUCCCCAGUGCAAACAGGAGGUUGAUUGGUACACUCUGAAGAUCUGGGUGUCAGGUCUACCGAAGCUGAGUGUGUGCAUAUUCUAUGACACAGCAAUUCUACUCCUGGUUGUGUUUCCAAUGAAAAUGUAUACACGCGUGCACAAAUAUGUGUGGUAAAUGUGUACAAGAGUGAUUCAUAAUGGCCCAAACCUGGAAACUAUGUAAAUAUCUGUCACCAGUAGAAUGCAUCAUAGGAUAGUCACCGCAAAGGAACAUUAUAAAGCAGUGAGAAUAAAUGAACUAUGGUUUAUGAAGAAAGAUGUGAACGAAACCGACAACAUUGUUUUGUCCUUGUAUUGAAAUCAAGGGUGCUUUACCAUUGAGCUGCAAAAACCCCUUUUUUUUUUUUUAAGCCAGGGUCUUGCUAAAUUGCUAAAUUGCCUUGAAUUUGCAAUCCUCCCACCUCAUCUUCCCUAGUUCCUGGGACUAUAGGCAUGAGGCUCUACCUUGCCCAGCCAAGCAAUGUCGAGUGAAGGACAUGAGAAACAAAGCAACAAACAUUUAUUUCAAAGUAAAAAAGGGCUGGGCAUGUAGCUCAGUGGUAGAGCAUCUCUGGGUUCAAUCCUCAUACUGCAAAGAGAAAAAAGUCCAGAGUGAGGGUAGCCUUGCCUUGGGAGAGUGGGGAAAGCAUGUCAUUGAAAGGGGACAGACAGGGCUGGGGAUGUGGCUGAAGCGGUAACCAGCUCACCUGGCAUGCGCGGGGCACUGGGUUCAAUCCUCAGCACCACAUAAAAUAAAAUAAAGAUGUUGUGUCUGCCGAAAAAAACCCUGA
rnacentral:lncRNA from 1 species